rnacentral:rRNA from 1 species
UGCGUAGGCGGUUCUCUAAGUCGGAUGUGAAAACUCUGGGCUCAACCCAGAGACUGCAUCCGAAACUGGAGGACUAGGGUUCUGGAGGGGAAAGCGGAAUUCCUGGUGUAGCGGUGAAAUGCGUAGAUAUCAGGAGGAACACCGGUGGCGAAGGCGGCUUUCUGGACAGAUACCGACGCUGAGGCACGAAAGCUAGGGGAGCAAACA